ACAGGCUGAGCAGGACAUAAGAGGCUGCUACAAUCUGAAAAGUGUUCAUCCUGUUGAUGCUCCCUCGUGUUGCCCACAUUGAAUGUGUCUGCUUGCUGUAGCUUUAUCGAUUCUGAUUCUCAAUUCCAUGGUCUGAAACAGAAUGUUCUCAGUGAAACCAAGUGGACUAAAUACCGGAAAAGAAGAUGAAAAGCUGGAGAUAUGAAACAAUAUCAUGGAGUACUAAUAAUGGCUUUGAUGGAGCAGCUCAUUAAGGGAGAGUGGAUGGGUUCUCUCUUUGAGGAGGAAUGUGGAAGAAAGGAGGCUGAUCCAUGAUAUCCAAGAAACCAUUUCUCAUCUUUCUUUGAUGUUGUUGUUCUUAAAUCUGACAUUUUAUCAUA